rnacentral:misc_RNA from 1 species
CUUGCAUGACAUGCUACAGCCCCCCCUUGGUGGCAUGCCGAUGACAAGCAUACGGCCCGAUUUCUAGGUGUGCGUUGGAUCGAUGUCGUGCGGCCCGUAGCGGUUUCGUGUUGGUUUGCCGAUCGUCGAAGCUCGUCCCGUCGCUGUGUAGUAACCUGCCUCGGUCCACGUAUGUGGCAUGUGGAGGAGAAAAUCUCGACCGGACUUGCGAGGGCGUUGACGCGGCCUGGGCGGAGUUUGCUAUCGUGCCCUGCGAUGCCGGUUUCAACGUGCUGUCCGUACCGAUGAGGCCCGAUUUCCGUGUGUGCGUUGGAUCGAUGCCGUGCGGCCCGUUGCGGAUUCGUGUUGGUUUGCCGAUCGUCGAAGCUCGUCCCGUCGCUGUGUAGUAACCUGCCUCGGUCCACGUAUGUGGCAUGUGGAGGUGAAAAUCUCGACCGGACUUGCGAGGGCGUUGACGCGGCCUGGGCGGAGCUUGCUAUCGUGUCCUGCGAUGUCGGUUUCAACGUGCUGUCCGUACCGAUGAGUUGGAUCGGUGUUGUGCGGCUCGUUGCGGUUUCGUGUUGGUUUUGCUGAUCGUCGAAGCUCGUCCCGUCGCUGUGCAGUAACCUGCCUCGGUCCACGUAUGUGGCAUGUGGAGGAGAAAAUCUCGACCGGACUUGCGAGGGCGUUGACGCGGCCUGGGCGGAGUUAGCUUUCUUGUCGUGCAACAUCGUGGUUUAUGCGUUUCUCGUACCGUUCGGUGCAUUUCGGGAGCUUCUUCGUGCUCGUAGUUGCUUGCUUGGCCUUCGUGCUGGGCUUGUGGCUACUUGUGCGGGUCGCUUCGGGGAAUGUUUAUCGUAAAGGUGCAUGAGUGGUGUUUGGUGUGUUGCUGGUGGUUGGCUGACUGCAUUCGCAGCAACGUCCACUGGGGCACGCCUCUUCAUUUACGGCGAACGGUUGAUUGUCAACCGGGAGCAUAUGUCGGGCUUUCCUGUGCUGCGUACCUACUUUAGGGCAUGCCGUCGGUUGGUUAACGUGCGUUUUCGUCCCGCGUCGCUCGCGUGACGUGGGACGGACCAGAACUGGCCUCUCUAUGGUCCAUGUCUUUGACGCAUCGCGUCUUUGGCAUGGCCCAUUGUGCGUGGCUUGGUUUCUUGGAUACGGAACCUUAUGUGGGCAUGGGGUUGCUUGCGACCCCGAUUUUGCCCUCGUCAAGCGUUCUUGCCCCUAGAAAACAACAUGCGGUCGUGCGUCGACUUGUUUAU